CUCUUUUAGAUUAAAAUGCAGUAAAAAGUGAGACAAGUCAUUUUUUUUUUUUUCAUCUCUUUGAAGGCUGCUUUAUGCCCCAGGAAACAAUGCCAAUGUUUUGAGGCAACAUUACAACCAUCACUUCCCUCACUAUAGUAACAACUUGCAUCAGGAUUUCUAGAACCAUUACCACAAAAUUAGAAGAGCUAGACUGUGUCUUUUUUUUACUGGGCUCUGUGAACCACCUGGAGUAUCACUGAACUACCUGUCCUGAGUAGAAGCUCAAAAUGUGAUUCUCCAAGAGAAGAUGCUGCCCUUCCAUCAGCUAACAGAGCACUGUCACAAAGAUCAUCUUCAUCAUACACAGAUAAUAAUUAAAAAA
rnacentral:lncRNA from 1 species